CGCGCCGGCGCCUCCCUGCCGCUCCCCUCUCCCUCUAAACUUGCUCCGCCACCCACCGCUCGGUGCCUUCCGCCCGUCGGCCUCCUCCUCCGUGGAUCUCGGCUGGGUGAUCCUGCCCGUGGGCGCGUGGCUGGACCGCCCGACACCUCAACUCCGGCGCCAAUGGAACUGCCAUCCUGCUCACCUGCCCGGGACUCCCGUGCGCUUCAGUGCAACGCCCUGCAGCAGCUAUCCCCUGGUCAGGCCCUCAUGUUUCCCUCUGUAUUUUUCAUUGCAAGUGCAGCAAAUUUAAAUUCAAAAUACUACAUCACAUGGGCAUUAGUACUGUGCUAUACAUACAACAUAAGGAUGCUGAUUUUAGUUUGAAAGUAGCAGACUAAUUUUCCCUUGCUUGCUGUUUUAUUGGUAUGUAGAACCACACAUUCGUGGAGCUCAGUAGCAUAAAGGUAUGCUAUGUUCUUGAGCAUAAGUUAAACAAUCCGGUUGUUAGUUUUCAGCCGUGAAUAUUCGUACUGAAGCUCAUGGUUACUUGUGCCAAUAUUUUGCCAGGAGAUUAUCAUAUUAUCCAUGAAUAUUUGUAUUGAAGAUCAUGUGUUGGAUGUAUUUUGGAUGGCCUGGUAUCUUUGAUUAUUCGUACUGAAGCUCAUUGGUACCUAUGCCGACAUUUUUCUAGGAGAUUAUCAUUUUAUCCCUGAAUAUUUGUACUGAAGAUCACUUGUUGGAUGCAUUUUUAGAUGGUCUUAUAUCUCUAAAUAGCUAUGCAAGAAUAUUGUUUCUCAUGGAAAACUAUUCCUUUUUACUAGCUAGAAUUAGACAGGGUAGUAAGGCAUAAGAGGUUAGUUGGUUGGUUUAGUCAACUUUGAAUUUAUCAAGAGUGAAGAUGUUAACCACCAGUAUAUGCACAACAUGUCACUGAAUUCUAGCUGUCUGAAUGUAAUCUCAUGAAUUUCAGUUAUCUCUGAAUAUCACCAGUACAUACUUGGCAUCAGUGGGUGUACAAGUAUACAGAAAUAACAUCAGCACAUGAAUUUCACUAUACCAAUACUCUGAAUCAGUGAAGAAUGAAUGUGGAUGUACAAGAAGCAAAAUCCCUGUGUUAUCCAUGUCACUGAAAUGACAGAAAAGACUUCCUGUACAUCCAUGUUCAUUCAAGUAUUUUCUGUAGAUCCACACUGAUUCACGUGCAGCAAAAGAACUAGUAUUUGUCUGUACGUCCACAUUCAUUCUGUUACAGCAAAACAUCAGCAAUUUCUCUGUCAAACAUCAGCAAAACAUUCACGUGGAGUAGUUUUGACGGCAAGCAAGCCACCGCGCAUGGAUGCAGCACCGCGGCCGCUUGGUUUCCCUUGUGAGUGGGCAACGUCGUGUCGCUGUCGCAUGGAUGCAGCGCCGCAGCCGCUUUGUCUCACUCGCGUAUGGGUGUAGCGCCGGGUCGCGGAGGACGCCACCGCCCGGAGGCAUCACCAUGGCCGUCGGGUCGUAGCUGCAUGGGGCAAGCACUGUGCUACCAUCGCGUGUGGUCAGUACCAGACCGCUGUCGCGUCGGGGCGCUGCCAUGGCCUGCGGGUCGCCGUAGCUAGGGGAGCGGCGCUGAAGUCAGUCAUUGUUGAAUCGCCGCGGCGUCCAGGUCGCACUCGUGGCUGGAGAAAAAGUAGGAAGGGGAUAAUUUCAUGUCACAUGUACUACCAUGUGACAGUAAUACUAUUUCUUGUUCCAUCAACCAAAUUUUGCUUUACAAUGUAUAGAUAAAAUUUGCUUUACCAUGUGACACUAAUACUGGUAUGUAUGUAUCCCUGUUGUCUUGUCUUGUGAUGCAGCUAGUGACGCUAUUGACUGUAAUGCAACUGUUAUGUUUUUUUAACAGGACUAGCUUUACGGACAUAAGGCAAAAAUGACACGAGAUAAGAGCUGGAUGGACAGGGAAAGAGAUUCUGUUGAGUGGCAAACUGGCAUGAAGGAUUUCUUGAAUUUUGCCUUCGAUGGUGCUCACCCAGACUCAGCAGGCCCAUGCCCAUGUAGGAGAUGUCUCUAUAUUGUUCAGACAAAGAAAAGGGAUGGUCCUGAACUUUUUUUAUGGUUACCUACAAGUAGUAUCUCUCUUGAAGUUUAAUCUGAUGUUAAAUAGGUUCAAACAAGGCACCCCUGCAUAGUGUCAUCUGUUGUGGCAAAUGGGAACAGAAGCUAGUGCCCAGCACUAACAGUUUGGUGAUGAAGAGAAGAGAAGAGUAGUUGCUGUUCUUUUAGUGAUGUUGCUAUUUUGACAGUGAUGCUAUGUACAAACUAUUGCUAUGAACUUGUGGUCUUUUAGUGUGGUCGCUAUUUUCAUUACUUUGCCAUCAACUUAUGGUCUUUUGUGUGAACAAUCUUUACAAGUAUGGCUGCUGAAACUUGUGUGUUGUCAUAUUGAAACAUGUGUUAUAUAUCUCGCUGAGAUGAUUUAUUAUAUCCUACUAAAAUCUUGUGUCAUAUGUCCUUA
rnacentral:lncRNA from 1 species